rnacentral:tRNA from 1 species
AUGGGGAUAAUGUUCAGUGGUAGAGUGCUUGCCUAGCAUGCAAGACCCUAGGUUUGAUUCCCAGUACCAUG